GUCUAUUUGUACGUAUAUUAAUGGUGUGCAUGUGCAGAUUUUUGAUUUUAUUAAUAUUUACUAUUUUGGGAGACAGUUGAAAUUUUUCGGGGUAUUUACUUGCAUAAGAGGGGCGUGCUCCCAUGCUCAACUUUGUGUAUUUUGCAUCUGACUUUUUUUGUCAUAUUUUGAGCGUACAAUAGUGCCCCAUAAUUAGUGAUUUGCUAUGGUUAUUUUUAUGAUAAUAUAAAAUAAAAUUCAGUUGUGUUUCAUGAAGUCAUCGACAAAAAUCUUUUAAUACAUAUUAACC
rnacentral:lncRNA from 1 species